CAAUAGCGUAUAUUAAAGUUGUUGCAGUUAAAAAGCUCGUAGUUGGAUUUGUGGCUGUCACGGGCGGCCUAUCACUUAGUGUUAGUGCUUGCCUGUGUCGCCAUCCUUGGGUGGAGCCCGUGUGGCAUUAGGUUGUCGUGCGGGGGGUGCCCAUCGUUUACUGUGAGAAAAUUAGAGUGUUCAAAGCAGGCUUAUGCCGUUGAAUAUGUUAGCAUGGAAUAAUAAGAUAGGACCUCGGUACUAUUUUGUUGGUUUGCGCACCGAGGUAAUGAUUAAUAGGGACAGUUGGGGGUAUUCGUAUUUCAUUGUCAGAGGUGAAAUUCUUGGAUUUCUGAAAGACGAACUACUGCGAAAGCAUUUACCAAGGAUGUUUUCAUUAA
rnacentral:rRNA from 1 species